rnacentral:rRNA from 1 species
CAUCCUACGGGAGGCAGCAGUAGGGAAUAUUGCUCAAUGGGGGAAACCCUGAAGCAGCGACGCCGCGUGAAGGAAGAAGUAUUUCGGUAUGUAAACUUCUAUCAGCAGGGAAGAAAAUGACGGUACCUGACUAAGAAGCCCCGGCUAAAUACGUGCCAGCAGCCGCGGUAAUACGUAUGGUGCAAGCGUUAUCCGGAUUUACUGGGUGUAAAGGGAGCGCAGGCGGUGCGGCAAGUCUGAUGUGAAAGCCCGGGGCUCAACCCCGGGACUGCAUUGGAAACUACCGAACUAGAGUGUCGGAGAGG